UACGUAGGGACCGAGCGUUGUCCGGAAUCAUUGGGCGUAAAGGGCGCGUAGGCGGCCAUCUAAGUCAGACGUGAAAUCCCCCGGCUUAACCUGGGAACUGCGUCUGAUACUGGAAGGCUUGAGUAUGGGAGAGGGAUGUAGAAUUCCAGGUGUAGCGGUGAAAUGCGUAGAUAUCUGGAGGAAUACCGGUGGCGAAGGCGGCAUCCUGGACCAUUACUGACGCUGAGGCGCGAAAGCUAGGGGAGCAAACGGG
rnacentral:rRNA from 1 species